UAUGAGAGUCAGGUGUGCCAGGGGUUC
rnacentral:sRNA from 1 species